GGUUGUGUAGUGUAGUGGUUAUCACUCCAGAUUUUGAUUAAUCUCCAGAAAAAUUCUGGUAACCCCGGUUCGAUCCCGGGCACGACCU